AGCCAGACUCCUACGGGAGGCAGCAGUGGGGAAUAUUGGGCAAUGGGCGCAAGCCUGACCCAGCAACGCCGCGUGAAGGAAGAAGGCUUUCGGGUUGUAAACUUCUUUUGACAGGGAAGAGCAGAAGACGGUACCUGUCGAAUAAGCCACGGCUAACUACGUGCCAGCAGCCGCGGUAAUACGUAGGUGGCAAGCGUUGUCCGGAAUUAUUGGGCGUAAAGAGGGAGCAGGCGGCAGCAAAGGUCUGUGGUGAAAGACUGAAGCUUAACUUCAGUAAGCCAUAGAAACCGGGCAGCUAGAGUGCAGGAGAGGAUCGUGGAAUUCCAUGUGUAGCGGUAAAAUGCGUAGAUAUUAGGAGGAACACCGGUGGCGAAGGCGGCCUGCUGGACUGUAACUGACGUUGAGGCUCGAAAGCGUGGGGAGCAAACAGGAUUAGAUACCCCGGUAG
rnacentral:rRNA from 1 species